GUAGGUGAACCUGCGGAAGGAUCAUUAUAGAGAUUGGUUGGGUAACACCUUCCAAACCUCCCACCCUAUGUUUACAUUACCUUUGUUGCUUUGGUAGGCCCGUCUUUGGACCGCCGGCUUCGGCUGGCCAGUGCCUACCAGAGGAUCCAAAACUCUGUUUAAUUGUAUUGUCUGAGUACUAUAUAAUAGUUAAAACUUUCAACAACGGAUCUCUUGGUUCUG
rnacentral:misc_RNA from 1 species